UCCCUCUUAGCUCAGUGGUAGAGCGUGUCACUCGUAUAUUACAUUAAUAUGACAAGGUCAGUCGUUCAAUCCGGCUAGCGGGAA